CACGGUUUGGGUCCAGACGUCCAGAAUUGAGGCGUCGGCCUCUCCAGAUAGCAAGAGAUGGUGCUGUCAAGACAGUGUAAGCCCAGGAGCCCAGGUGGCUGGGCUGUGUCUGCACAGCCUUUGGAUAAGGCCUCAGAAAGAUCAUAGCCUCAGCAUUCUGCCCCACCAAGGGUGCCUUAGAGAGGUCAGGGCUGAGCCUCAUGGAUCGAACCAGGGAGCCCCUGAGGAGCCGAAGGGCGUUGACUCCGAGUCACCUCGGCAGGACUCAAAGAUAGAAAAGGCUUGCCUCAAAAACAUCGGCAGGUGAGGCCUUCGGCUCAUGGAGUAGACCCAGGUGAAAUCCAUGAGAGACAAAGAUUUUGAGGAAAUCACUUUCACAGAAACACUGCCAGCCUGGGUGGGAAGGAACAGAGAGAGCACAGGAUGAAAGGAGGCUGCCAGACUCCCCAGAUUUUGCUGGCUGGAAGUAGGCUAAAAAGCUCCUCAGCUGCAAACAUGGGCAACCUUUCCUUCCAAACAAGUGCAGUGUAGAUGCGGGGACCAAGAGCCCAGACAGGGAAUCCAGAAGCCAGGAGAAUUCUCCCCAGCCCUGGAAACCUGACUGAGAACUCCCAACCUUUACUUUUCUGGAUUUGGAAUUGCUACACAGUCAAGAUGCCUUUUAUCUGCCAUUUCCUCCCCUUGAAAACUGAAAUGUCUACAGCUGCAUCUGGUGCCUGCUCCACCACGGGACAGGUCACUAAUCUCUUUAGCUUCCCGGGCCCAUCCAUGGAGAGGAAUUGUGUCCCAGAACCUGAACCGAAUGAUUGCACCAUGACCCUCCACUGACCUUUGACCUGAUUUAGAUGUUGACAUUUCAGGCUUUGAGCUGAUGCCAUGAAGCUCCGAAAAUCUUAGGUACCUAGAGCAGGUGAAUGACUUUUGCACAUGCGAGGGAGGCAGGGGGGCGUGUGGCAGACUCCCAGGUGCCUCCAGGUGUAACUGCCUUUUAUGUAGUCAUCUCCCCUGAGUCACAGAGAAGGACUGGUGACUGACUUCUAACCAACGGCUACAGCAAAGGUGAUGGGAUGUCACUCUGGGGAUGACUCACAUCACACAGGACUGUCUUUUGGGGAGACUCGCUGUCUCCCUCACUGGCUCUGAAGAAGCCAGCAGCUGCCACAGAUCCUACAACUGAAAGGAGCUGAGUGUUACCAAACACAUGCGAGCAGGGGCAUGCACGCUCCCCCAGUCAGACUCCGCAUGAGAACCCACCCUGGACAUAACCUGGCGACCGCCUUGUGAGACCCCAGCAGGAGAGCCGGCAAGUCUGUCGCUGGACUCCCGACUCACGGAUUCGUUGAGAUAAUAGAGAUGGAGUGUCACAAUGUUGCCAAGGCUGGUCUGGAACUCC
rnacentral:lncRNA from 1 species